GAUGGGAAAUGGCCAUGGAAUGAUAUGCUGAUGGCCAUUGUUAGAUGGUCCCUUUGAAGAUAAUUGUCUCCCAGAGGAUGCAUAACUUACUGUCUUGUCUGUCUUACUGCUUGCCAGGCUUAGUUUUCGUAGGUUGAGUUUGUCUCCAAAGAUUACCAGGUCGUGGGACAUUGUUCACUAAAAGGAGUUCUUCCUUGCCUCCAUGCAACUGCAAUACAUCAGAAAAAAAUCCUGCCAACAUUUAUCUGGGUUCCUCAGUGCCGAUGGAAUUGGCAGCUGUGCUAAACCUAGCAAAUACAUGUAAUGUAUAGCAAAGACUGGAGUAAGAGAAUAUCAUUUUAUAUGGUCAUUUUUCUGAGUAGGAGCUCGCUUGAUAUUUAGAAGUUGUUCUUUAUCAUAGUAACACCAUAGAUCCCAUGCUCUAUGCUUUAACAUAGGGAGGAGUAGCCCCUGCUCAAAACAGUUUACAUAAACAGAGUAGAAGGGGAAAUGGAGGCGUGAUGAAUCGCCCAAUAGUACAGUGCAGGCCAGUAGCUGAGCUGAGAAUAAAACUUAGGUUUCCUGAUUCUUGAUCUAGUGAUCUACUAACUAGGACAUGCAGUUGCUUCCCACACUGCUCUUCGCUAAGCUGUCAUCAGCCUUAGCAGAGAUGGGAAGCCCACUAGCAAUGCAUUACAUCAGCACAGCUUUAAUAUCACAGGCCACAGAGGCAUAUCAGGGCUUCCACCUUGUCCCUGUCUCUCUUGGCAGAUUUCCACAAUGAAGACUCCAAGGAUGUUGAUUAAAUUAUUAUGAGAUUUUAUUCGGCGAUGCUUGAUAUAUUAUUCAAAGUCAGAUGCGCCCGGGGUUUAUAUAUCAGAAUAUCUGAUUCGCUUUUUCAAAGGAUAUGGCACUAUCAGGCUGCUAGAGCCAGGAGCCAAAGAACAACCCUGUCCAAUUGUAUAAUCACUUUGAAAGCUUAAAUAUUAAAUGAACACAUUUUUGGA